rnacentral:rRNA from 1 species
AGUGAACGCUGGCGGUAGGCCUAACACAUGCAAGUCGAACGGCAGCACAGUAAGAGCUUGCUCUUACGGGUGGCGAGUGGCGGACGGGUGAGGAAUACAUCGGAAUCUACUUUUUCGUGGGGGAUAACGUAGGGAAACUUACGCUAAUACCGCAUACGACCUACGGGUGAAAGCAGGGGAUCUUCGGACCUUGCGCGAUUGAAUGAGCCGAUGUCGGAUUAGCUAGUUGGCGGGGUAAAGGCCCACCAAGGCGACGAUCCGUAGCUGGUCUGAGAGGAUGAUCAGCCACACUGGAACUGAGACACGGUCCAGACUCCUACGGGAGGCAGCAGUGGGGAAUAUUGGACAAUGGGCGCAAGCCUGAUCCAGCCAUACCGCGUGGGUGAAGAAGGCCUUCGGGUUGUAAAGCCAUUUUGUUGGGAAAGAAAAGCAGCAGGUUAAUACCCCGCUGUUCUGGCGGUACCCAAAGAAUAGCACCGGCUAACUUCGUG